AUGCCGUGGUGUGGGCAUGCUUGUAUGUACUCCUGAAGACGUUCCCAGACUUCUAGGAUAGUCUCAUCUAGUAAUUGUUGAAUUCCGGUAAUCGUGUUCCGGAGGGC